ensembl:lncRNA
UCUGUCUGUUUAUCUGUCUGUCUAUCUGUCUGUCUGUUUAUCUGUCUGUCUAUCUGUCUGUCUGUUUAUCUGUCUGUUAUCUGUCUGUUAUCUAUCUGUCUUUAUCUGUCUGUUUAUCUGUCUGUCUAUCUGUCUGUUUAUCUGUCUGUUUAUCUGUCUGUCUAUCUGUCUGUCUGUUUAUCUAUCUGUUUAUCUGUCUGUUUAUCUGUCUGUCUGUCUAUCUGUCUGUCUAUCUGUCUGUCUGUUUAUCUGUCUGUUUAUCUAUCUAUCUGUCUGUUUAUCUGUCUGUCUGUCUGUCUGUUUAUCUGUCUGUCUAUCUGUCUGUCUGUUUAUCUAUCUGUUUAUCUGUCUGUUUAUCUGUCUGUCUAUCUGUCUGUUUAUCUGUCUGUCUGUCUGUUUAUCUGUCUGUCUGUUAUCUGUCUAUCUAUCUCUUUAUCUGUCUGUCUAUCUGUUUAUCUAUCUAUCUAUCUCUUUAUCUGUCUGUCUAUUUGUCUGUUUAUCUGUCUGUCUACCUGUCUGUUUAUCUGUCUGUUUAUCUGUCUAUAUGUCUGUUUAUCUGUCUGUCUAUCUGUCUGUCUACCUGUCUGUUUAUCUGUCUGUUUAUCUGUCCGUCUCAAAGCAUUGAUAUUUCCAUAAGCACUGAGUAGUAUGUGUUAGUGAGGUUUAAGAGGUGUGGACUGAUUGAAGUUACAGCAUUGCUAUGCCAGUUAUACUUAUAUACUGUUGGAUACUAGAAUGUCCUUUAGAUAGAUAUGUGUCAUAUAGAUACUCUUCUGCAUUCAAGGGUUGGGCUCAAUUCGAAUUGCCAAUUCAGGAAGAGAUUUGAAUUUAAAAUCAGCUACUUAAAAAACAUAAAUAGCUUCUCCUUUUCAAUUCAUUAAGAAGUCAUUAAAAAUACAGGCCCCUAUUUCAAUCAUCGAAUUGGAAUUUCAGUUUACUUCCUGAAUUGACUGCCAUAUUGAGCCCAACCCCACUGCAUUCACUCAAAGCAUUCAUUAUACAAUAAAUGCAGUCUAAAGGUAUGAGACUAAAUCUAUCAGGUUAUGAUGAAGAUAUGAAGGAUAUGAUGUCAAGACAAUGCAUACAACACACACUAAGAUGAAGCCACUGGAUUCCAAUAAUUGACAAAAACACUGGAGCUGUCCGUGUGUAUAAUGACUAUAGAGGAGUGACUGGUGAGUUGGGGAUAAAAGGCCAGAUCACUUAUCAAUUUGAUUCAUGAUCAACCUUAUCUAUAGUAACGUUUGACUAUCUGUUUUCUCUUGGUUAUCUAUCUAUCGGUUAAAUUAAUCUAUAUUCAUAUACCUAUAUAUUAUGUAUGUAUAUUUAUACAGUCAAAUAGUUAUCCUUUUUAAACUGACUAUUAAUUGUAGUGGGAACAUGUCAAACACACAGAGACCAAGCGAAAGAGGUGAGAGAUCAAUAGGGGUGAAAGGUCAAAUAGAACACAGAAAACAGCUACAUUUCACUAUGGUACUACGUUACGUAACAGGGGCUACGCUCCAAUACUCUACCAUGGCUCCCUUCACCGGUUAGCCUGGCGGCAAGGUCUGGGUCUCGAGCAGAAACCGACCUGGCUACCAUGCUAUAAAUCUUCCCAUAGUGACUGCUGAUCUGAAAGUGUUUGGAUAAGCUGAAUGCAUUGGUUGCAUGUUUCGUCACAAUAUUGUUUUUAACGUUCGUUUGGACUGAUGCCCGACUGAGCAUUCUACUCAAUGCAUCAUCAUCAUUAAGCGCUGAUGAAGAUUUCAUCGAAAGUGCAUUACAGUGGCCUGGAAAUACAAUGACAUUCAAAAACAGGCAAAUAAUUAUUAGGAAAAUCUUGUGUCAUCAUUUUGAUGUCACCAGAUAGACUUUAGAUGCAGUACAACAUUAGCUAACUAGCUUAAAUUGAGGGGAGGCCACCUGAUUGUAACUAGCUUACGUUUGCUUUGCUAGCUAUUUUUGCAGAAUUUUGCAAUUAAUUUAUACUAAACAGUAGUUCGACUCAGAACGACGGGGCUUAUCACCACUUUAGGGCACUGCCGGUGACGGCUUGGUAUGACGUGACGGGGCUUAUCACCACUUUAGGGCACCGCCGGUGACGGCUUGGUAUGACGUGACGGGGCUUAUCACCACUUUAGGGCACCGCCGGUGACGGCUUGGUAUGACGUGACGGGGG